rnacentral:rRNA from 1 species
GGGCGUCUAGUUGCAAGGUGUAGACCCGAAACCGGGUGAUCUAGCCAUGGGCAGGUUGAAGGUUGAGUAACAUCAACUGGAGGACCGAACCCACUAACGUUGCAAAGUUAGGGGAUGACCUGUGGCUGGGGGGGAAAGGCCAAUCAAACUCGGAGAUAGCUGGUUCUCCCCGAAAGCUAUUUAGGUAGCGCCUCGGACGAAUACUACUGGGGGUAGAGCACUGUUUGGGCUAGGGGGUCAUCCCGACUUACCAACCCCAUGCAAA